rnacentral:rRNA from 1 species
UUCUAGGUUGACCUCGGAUCAGGUAGGGAUACCCGCUGAACUUAAGCAUAUCAAUAAGCGGAGGA